rnacentral:lncRNA from 1 species
AAGGAUUUGUUUACAACCUGCAAUAGUACUCUUUUAGAUGAUGUGAAGCUUUGAAAAUAUUGAAAUAAGUGAUUGCUCACCUCUCCCCCCAGGUAUAUAGGAAUUGAUUGUGUAUUUGGGGGAUCCUACCCUAAACUGAGAAUUAGAGACUAGUGAAGCAUGGGAUUGUGUGGAUAAUGUUUCUUCAUGUUUAUGUACUUAAAUAAACC